rnacentral:ncRNA from 1 species
GAGAGCACAGUACGAUGAAAGUUGUGAGUUGUGUUCGGGGGGGAGUUAUUGUCUAGCGUUGGCCUCUAUGGUAGAAUCAGUCGAGGAGGCCUGAGAGACGAUGGUUUACCCUGU